rnacentral:sRNA from 1 species
UGUCUUUUUAAAAAUAAAUGUUAUCCUCCGGGUGAGGUCAUUAACAAUCAGUGCAAGCAAUUUAAAUGCGUUCAAAAAGAUAAUAGUGGUUACCUAACAUUUGAAAUUGAGUACUUCCAAGCCAGUUGUAUGGAUGACAAAGGUGUAUGCCGAAGCCCCGGGGAAAUCUUCCCUUACAAGCAGUACAAGAGAUGUGAAUGCGGAGUGAAAGGAAUGGUCAUCUCCCUCUCAUGUCUUUCCUAGACGUUUGGAUGCAGUGACCGGUCAUUCAAGCUACACAUCAAUAAGCAACAAUUGAAUAAAUGACAAGGAUAUUCAAACUA